AUACAGUUGAGAUAAGAUCUGACUAUCAGUAUCUUUUCUGGUUCACUAAUUUUUUCUUGUCUGGUUCACUAAGUUUACUUCGCCAUAAACCAAGAUGGUAGCUACCAAAAGAAAGGAGGUUCCAACAAACUAUGACAGGAAAAGUGAAGUGAAAGCUUUUGAUGACACAAAAGAAGGUGUUAAAGGUCUUGUUGACGCUGGAGUAACUGAAGUUCCUCGCAUUUUUCAUCAUCAACCAGAUGAGUACUCCAUCCAUGAUUCCAAUGAUCCAGAAGAAUCCCAAUUUAGCAUUCCAGUCAUUGAUCUUGAAGGCCUUUUGGAUUUAACUAAACAAAAGGAGAUUGUUGCAAAAGUUGGAGAGGCAUCAGAGACUUGGGGCUUUUUUUCAGAUAGUCAACCAUGGAAUACCUGUUGAUGUCUUGAGGAGGUAAAAAUGGGGUACGUCGGUUUUUGUAGCAGGACACUGAGGUGAAGAAGAAGCUUUAUAGUCGCGAUCAUUUCAAGAAUCCUGUGCUCUACAAUAGCAACUUUGAUCUAUAUAGUGCACCGGCGACUAAUUGGAGAGAUACUUUUAGUUGUUACAUGGCUCCAAUUCCUACUAAACCAGAAGACUUCCCAGAAGUAUGCAGAGACAUACUUGUCGAGUACUCAGAUCAAGUAAUGAAGGUGGGUAAGCUAUUGUUCAAGUUGUUGUCUGAAGCUCUUGGAUUGAAGCCAAGUCACUUGAAUGACAUAGAUUGUAGCGAGGGGCUUCUGCUAGCAGGCCAUUACUAUCCCUCUUGUCCACAGCCAGAACUGACUCUAGGCGCAACCAAACAUGCUGAUAAUGCCUUCCUUACUGUUCUUCUGCAAGACCAUAUUGGUGGUCUUCAAGUCCUUCACCAGAACAAGUGGUUUGAUGUACCUCCUGUGCCCGGUGCUCUUGUGGUUAAUGUUGGAGAUCUUCUGCAGCUUAUAUCCAAUGACAGAUUCAAGAGUGUUGAACACAGAGUACUGGCAAACCGUAGAGGUCCACGAGUAUCGGUUGCAAGCUUUUUCUGCACAGGAUUGCUGCCAUUAACAAAACUCUAUGGACCGAUCAAGGAGUUAUUAUCAGCAGACAAUCCUCGAAAGUACAGGGAGACAACUGUUAGGGACUAUUUUGCCUACUUCAAUCAAAAAGGCCUCGAUGGUACCUCUGCCUUGCCUCAUUUUGAGCUUUGAACUUGGAGACUACGAGGAGUAUUAAUGCAGUGAAAUGCAUGCUAUGUUUGGCCAAGAUUUCUUUUGUGUAGAAAAUGCAAAUAAAACUUUUAAGCACUAAGGUGAAGAUAUAUGUCC